CUGCAUGCGCAGCUAUAAUGCAGUCGAGCGAACAGAAGGGAGCUUGCUCCCGGAUGUUAGCGGCGGACGGGUGAGUAACACGUGGGUAACCUGCCUGUAAGACUGGGAUAACUCCGGGAAACCGGAGCUAAUACCGGAUAGUUCCUUGAACCGCAGGUUCAAGGAUGAAAGACGGUUUCGGCUGUCACUUACAGAUGGACCCGCGGCGCAUUAGCUAGUUGGUGGGGUAAUGGCUCACCAAGGCGACGAUGCGUAGCCGACCUGAGAGGGUGAUCGGCCACACUGGGACUGAGACACGGCCCAGACUCCUACGGGAGGCAGCAGUAGGGAAUCUUCCGCAAUGGACGAAAGUCUGACGGAGCAACGCCGCGUGAGUGAUGAAGGUUUUCGGAUCGUAAAGCUCUGUUGUUAGGGAAGAACAAGUGCGAGAGUAACUGCUCGCACCUUGACGGUACCUAACCAGAAAGCCACGGCUAACUACGUGCCAGCAGCCGCGGUAAUACGUAGGUGGCAAGCGUUGUCCGGAAUUAUUGGGCGUAAAGGGCUCGCAGGCGGUUUCUUAAGUCUGAUGUGAAAGCCCCCGGCUCAACCGGGGAGGGUCAUUGGAAACUGGGAAACUUGAGUGCAGAAGAGGAGAGUGGAAUUCCACGUGUAGCGGUGAAAUGCGUAGAGAUGUGGAGGAACACCAGUGGCGAAGGCGACUCUCUGGUCUGUAACUGACGCUGAGGAGCGAAAGCGUGGGGAGCGAACAGGAUUAGAUACCCUGGUAGUCCACGCCGUAAACGAUGAGUGCUAAGUGUUAGGGGUUUCCGCCCCUUAGUGCUGCAGCUAACGCAUUAAGCACUCCGCCUGGGGAGUACGGUCGCAAGACUGAAACUCAAAGGAAUUUGACGGGGGCCCGCACAAGCGGUGGAGCAUGUGGUUUUAAUUCGAAGCAACGCGAAGAACCUUUACCAGUCUUGACAUCCUCUGACACCCUAGAGAUAGGCUUUCCCUUCGG
rnacentral:rRNA from 1 species